rnacentral:misc_RNA from 1 species
GAUGAAGAACGUAGUGAAAUGCGAUAAGUAGUGUGAAUUGCAGAAUUCAGUGAAUCAUCGAAUCUUUGAACGCACAUUGCGCCCCUUGGUAUCCCGAGGGGCAUGCCUGUUCGAGCGUCAUUUCACCACUCAAGCCUGGCUUGGUGUUGGGCGACGUCCCCUUUGGGGACGCGCCUCGAAACGCUCGGCGGCGUGGCACCGGCUUUAAGCGUAGCAGAAUCUUUCGCUUUGGAAGUCGGGGCCCCGUCUGCCGGAAGACCUACUCGCAAGGUUGACCUCGGAUCAGGCAGGGAUACCCGCUGAACUUAAGCAUAUCAAUAGCGGAGGA